rnacentral:rRNA from 1 species
CGGGCCAACGGGAGGCAGCAGUGGGGGAUAUUGCACAAUGGGGGGAACCCUGAUGCAGCGACGCCGCGUGGGUGAAGAAGUCAUUCGUGACGUAAAGCCCUAUCAGCAGGGAAGAAAAUGACGGUACCUGACUAAGAAGCCCCGGCUAACUACGUGCCAGCAGCCGCGGUAAUACGUAGGGGGCAAGCGUUAUCCGGAUUUACUGGGUGUAAAGGGAGCGUAGACGGCGGCGCAAGUCCGGAGUGAAAGCCCACGGCCCAACCGCGGGACUGCUCUGGAAACUGUGCGGCUUGAUGGCGGGAGGG